GCUCGGCGGGGUCCCCUCCGAGCAGAUCCCCCUCGACCUUGCAGGGACCCGGCCGGGCGGCGCGGGGCUGGGAUUGUGCCGGGUUUCAAGGACACGGGAGAUGAUCAGGACUUUGGGAGCCAACAUCUGCCUGGCUGGUGACGUCAGCAACCCCGUGUAAUCCUCUUGUACGGAAGGCAGAUGCCUUAUUUGUUUGGCUGGAGAGGCAUUAAUCCCUAAUUCUGGAGCAGCAAGCGAGGGGGAGAGACCGUCCUACCCCCCGAAAGCAGCUAGCAGGGCUCUCCUCCUCUCUGCGCUCCGCAGCUCCGACUGGGUAGAGGAGCCGCCAGCCCUCGGCAGGCGGCCGCAGGCAGGAGCUGUGCUGCCGGGGGGACCCGGACCCCCCUGCCCAGGUUGCCCCCGGAUGCCCCGGCAAGCUACUGGACAAAUCUCCGGGAAGGCCAGCUCUCCGCCGGAACCCGGCAGCCACCGCAGCGCAGCCCACUUCGCCGCCUCUCUCUCUCCCGGGCCCUGCGGCCGAGGCAGCAGUCGAGGUCAGCCCGCCCGGUUCCCGGGGUCCGGCCGGGGUUCAGCCCGAGGGUGAUGCACGGUGCCUGGCCGCUCCGCUCUUCCCCGCCGUGCCAGCGGCACCGAAAAGGAAUGGUCCCCGUCCUGAGCCGUGAAAGAUGGCAAUAAGCGUAAUAACAAUUAAAAAAAAGCUUAGGAUGAUUUUUUUUUUUUUAUUAUUAUUAUUGUAAUGACUUCACCCCUCAUUUCCUCACUUGCCCCGUUCAGUGCAGGCCAGAUGGGCUGCCCAGACCCUCCCGGGAAAGGGGCAGGUGCGAGUGAGCUGAAUUUUUUUCCACUUUACAAAGAAAGAUGACACGUCCUGCCCUUUCAUUUUUCACCGUCGAAAGACCCCUUCUGCCCCUUGCUCCCCCCCUGGCCGAGAGGAGCUGGGAUGCUCUGGGGGUGCGGGCUUCCCCGCCCGCCAUCCGGCGAAGCCGCAGGACCAGGGCAGCCGGAGAGACACGGUCCCUCCCAGCCAGGGAUGCCAAAUCACAGACGUCGAGCCGGAGAAAGCCAACUCCUGCCUUUAAAAUCACGCGAAGACGCUGGCGAAAUUAAAGCAGUAGCCUGGAAGUGCGCAAUAGGCACAUGCUUAAUUUCUUUCUUUCUUCCUUUUUUAAUUACUUUUUUAAAAAUCAAUUACAUACAUAUUUAACAGCUUCCUGGGCAUUGCACACAACAGACGGGCUAGUAAGAAAACUUAAGCAUGAAUUACAUGCAGCCCAGGCCAGGCUGGGACUAGGGCGGAGGGAAAUUACCGGGUUUUUUUCGGGGAUCAGUUGCUAUUCUGCUUCCAGAGAGAGAGAGAGAGAGCGCUCCAAGGCUCUGACUCUCCGUGUUCACAGCGGACCUUGAUUUAAUGUCAUACAAUUAAGGCACGCGGUGAAUGCCAAGAGCGGAUCCUCAACGCAGCAUGAAAGAUCUCGCUAGAAUAUAACAUAAUAAUAACGUUAAUAAUAAAAUUAACAACAAAAAAUUAAAAUUAAAAAAAGGGGGAGAGACAAAGCAGUAAAGAGCUCGACAGCCUGUACUCACCUACGGAAACCGAGACUAAAUAGGACCGUCGGACCGAACGGCUCAGCCCGGUGGAGAGGACAUGCCGCUGCCACAGGACGGGGCAGCUGUCAGCAGCAGGUAACGGGGCCGUGGCGGGUCCCGGUGCGGUUCGGCAGCCGUGGUGGUUUUUCAAGGUUAGUGGCGGCUCGACCUCUUGCUUUCCUGGGCUGAACCAUGUAAAGUCGAUUAAUGGGAAAUAAAUAUAUUUUCUAAUAUUGUAA